rnacentral:rRNA from 1 species
UACGGAGGAUGCAAGCGUUAUCCGGAAUGAUUGGGCGUAAAGCGUCCGCAGGUGGCUAUGUAAGUCUGCUGUUAAAGAGUGAGGCUCAACCUCAUAAAAGCAGUAGAAACUACAUGGCUAGAGUGCGUUCGGGGCAGAGGGAAUUCCUGGUGUAGCGGUGAAAUGCGUAGAGAUCAGGAAGAACACCGGUGGCGAAAGCGCUCUGCUAGGCCGCAACUGACACUCAUGGACGAAAGCUAGGGGAGCGAAUGGG